rnacentral:rRNA from 1 species
UACGUAGGGUGCGAGCGUUGUCCGGAAUUAUUGGGCGUAAAGAGCUCGUAGGCGGUGUGUCGCGUCGGCCGUGAAAACCUGGGGCUUAACUCUGGGCGUGCGGUCGAUACGGGCAUCACUGGAGUUCGGCAGGGGGAGACUGGAAUUCCUGGUGUAGCGGUGAAAUGCGCAGAUAAUCAGGAGGAACACCGGUGGCGAAGGGCGGGGUCUCUGGGGCCGAUACUGACGCUGAGGAGCGAAAGCAUGGGUAGCGAACAGGA